ACCCGCUGAAUUUAAGCAUAUUAGUCAGCGGAGGAAAAGAAACUAACCAGGAUUC
rnacentral:rRNA from 1 species